UUCAGAGACAGAAAGAGAGGUGACAUGACGCCUGUCCCCAUUGCUCCUCUCAGGAUCCACAGAAAUUAGUGAACCCUGCUGUAGUACGUAGGUGAGCUGAAGUGGAGAAACCAUAUGCAGGGAAGGAUCCAGGUUGUUCCAGGGCAUAGAUUCCAACUCUGGAGCAUGGAUGUGGGCAGCUGGGCAAGUUGCAUCAGCCUGGCAGCAGGAGGACAGACUGCAGAGCCGCAGGUGCUCAGGAACAUGAGACAGCCCUCUCCAGACCAGCCAAGCCAUGGAAAAUAACCACCAUGUUUGCAUGUUUAAAAAAUAAAUUAUUUAAAAUGUACACUUCUCCCACUUACUUCACAUUUCAUUUUGUCUUUACUCCCAUCCCCCCAAAGGUAAGCCAUGCUGGUGGUUCUUGCAAUUAUUUCAACCACCUGAAAAGGC
rnacentral:lncRNA from 1 species